rnacentral:rRNA from 1 species
AUUGAACGCUGGCGGCAGGCUUAACACAUGCAAGUCGAACGAGUGGCGGACGGGUGAGUAAUGCUUGGGAAUCUGGCUGAUGGAGGGGGAUAACUACUGGAAACUGUAGCUAAUACCGCGUACCAUCGGAUGUGCCCAGGUGGGAUUAGGUAGUUGGUGGGGUAAUGGCCUACCUAGCCGACGAGCCCUAGCUGGUCUGAGAGGAUGACCAGCCACACGGGGACUGAGACACGGCCCGGACUCCUACGGGAGGCAGCAGUGGGGAAUAUUGCGCAAUGGGGUCAACCCUGACGCAGCCAUGCCGCGUGAAUGAAGAAGGCCUUCGGGUUGUAAAGUUCUUUCAGUGACGAGGCGUUAACCACAGAAGAAGCACCGGCUAACUCCGUGCCAGCCGCCGCGGUAAUAC